UUGUUGUCCUUCAUAAGGUCAAUGGGCAAUCAAAAAGGUACACGACCUAGGUUGGUGACCUUCAUUGUACUUUCUAGAGGUGCCCGCCUAAUGUACGACUCAAGUAAUCGAGCCUAUGUUAUAAUUUGUGGUAUUGGGCUCGCGUGACCCUUACCCAAU